rnacentral:lncRNA from 1 species
GACUUUUUCGAGCUCCAUUUGCCUGAAAAUUUCAUUUUGUCAUUAUUUUUAACAGCUGAGUAAUAUUCUGUUGUGUAAAUGUACCACAUUUUCAUUAUCCAUUCUUGGAUAGGGGAAGCUUCAGGUUUGUUUCUAGUUUCUGGCUACUAUAAGUAAAGCUACUAUGAACAUUUUUGAGCAAGUGUCCUUGUGAAAUGGUGGAACAUCUCUUGGGAAUAGCCAUAAGAGUGGCAUAGCUAGAACUAUUUGAGGUAGAACUGUUGCCAGUUUUCUGAGAAACAGCCAAAUUGAUUUGCAGAAUGAUUGUAGAAGUUUACAUUCCCAGCAGCAAUGGAGACUUGCUCCCCUUGCACCAUUUCCUCGCUAGCAUGUGUGUUUCCUUUUGAUCUUAGUCAUUCUGUGGAGUGUAAGAUGGAAUCUCAGUUUUGUUUUGAUUUGCAUUUCCCUGAUGACUAAGGAUUGAACAUUUCUUUUUUUUAAUUAAUCUUUUUAUUCAUUUACAUUUCAAAUGAUAUCCCCCUUUCUGGUUUCCCCCUCCACAGACUCCCCAGUCCUAUUCCCCUCUCCCCCUUCCCUCUGACUCUAUGAGGUUGCUCCUCCACCUACUCACCCACUCCCACAUCACUACUCUAGCAUCCCCCUCUGCUGGGGCACCGAGCCUCCACAGGACCAAGAGCCUCCCCUCCCAUUUAUGUCAGAUAAGGCCUUCCUCUGCUACAUAAGUAUCUGGAGUCAUGGAUCCUUCCAUGCAUAUUCUUUGGUUGGUGGUUUAGUCCCUGGGAGCUCUGGGUGUUCUGGUUAUUUGAUACAGUUCUUCCUGUGGGGGUGCAAUCCCCUUCGGCUCCUUCAGUCCUUCCCCUAGCUCUUCCAUUGGGGUCCCCAGGCUCAGUUUGAUGGUUGGCUGUGAGUAUCUGCAUCUGUAUGAGCCAGAGAACAUUUCUUUAAGUAAUUCUCAGCCAUUUGAGAUUCCUCUGUUGAGAAUUGUCUGUUUAGUUCUGUACUCCACUUUUCAUUGUGCUAUUUGGUUGUGGAUGUCUAGUUUCUUGAGUUCGUAUAUAUUCUGGAUCUUAGCCGUCUGGCAUAUGUGAGGUUGAUGAUCUUUCCCUGUUCUGUAGGCUGCCAUUUUAUCCUUUCGACCUUGUCCUUUGCUUACAGAAGCUUCUCAGGUUCACGAGGCACCAUGUAUUUAUUGACAGUACUAGUGCCUGAGCUGUUGGUGUUCUGUUCAGGAAGUUGUCUUCUGUGCCACUCUCUCUCCACUUAGAUUUAGGGAAUCUGGUUUUAUGUUUAGCCUUUGAAUCAUCUGAACUUGGGUUUUGUACAGGGUGAUAUGGAUCUAUUUGUAUGCUUUUACAUGUAGACAUCCAGUUAGACCAGCACCAUUUGUUGAAGAUGCUUUCUUUUUCUCUAUUUCAUAAUUUUGCCUUCUUUGUCAAAAAAAUCAACUAUCCAUUUGUGUGUCCCAUACAUAGUUUUAACUUAUUUGUUCAAGAUGUCAUACAUAUUGUUUAAUUUACUAGUCUUCUGUUAACAUUUUAUAGGCCUUUCUUACAGCUGUCCCUUCUAAGUUAUCUCUGAAAAUGGUGUAAAGCCAAGGCUUAGAAAAGUUAACUCUUUUUCUAAGAUAAACAUAUUGACCCUUUUGAAGUAAACAUAUUUGCAACUAUAAGUGAUUAAUAUUACUAUAAUGCCAAAUCACUUUUAUUAGUAUUUUUUUCUGUUUAGAAGCAUUAACAAAGACUCUCAGCUAGAGGCUGGAGAGAUUGCUCAGUGGUUAAGAACACUUACUUAUCUUGCAAUAGAUCUUGUAUUCAGUUCCCAGCAUCUACAUGAUGGCUCUCAAAAGCAUCUGUAACUCCAGUUCCUGUGGAUCCAAUACCCUCUUCUGACCUCCUUAGGCACUAGGCAUGUACCAACCAUACAUGGAUUGCAUUUAUAUACAAGCAAACAUUUUUAUAAUUAAAUAAAUGAAGAAAAUACUGAGUAUUUUUUAAUCUCUUAGCUAGAAUAUGUGAGAAUACAAACAAAUCUAGCCCAGCUUACAUGUAAUUUGCAUUAUAUAUUUGUAUAUGCCUUUGAACAAUGAAAGCAUAUUUAAAAUAUAUAUUUAAUAUGUGUAAAUAUAUGUGAUAUAUGUCAGUUAUAUUUGUUAAAAAUCAUAGCACUGUAGCAAAUCUUAGUAACUUUUGAAAUCAUUACAUUGAUUUGAUAUGUGAAUGAAGAAAAGUUAUUUUAUUUCAUAUUGUUCUCAAUUUUUGAGCUGUAAAUUUGGGAACCCCAAAUUUGAUAUCAUAUACUAGUGUAUACUUGUUUAUAUAUUGUUACGUAUGUGAUCUUUUAUUGACUAAAUGUAUACAGCAGUAUACGUUUUAUUCAAACAACCUUACUAUGGUUAUCAUCUCUAAUUUUCAGUUUUUCUAGCAUUUUCCCUUCUUCCCUAUGUAGGAAGUAGGAUUCCCUGGGUUGUGCAAAGUAGUGGUAAGAACAUUAGAAAUAUAUUGAGCAUGAUAUGUUAUGGUACUUUCAUAUCCAAGAUUUAAACAAGUAUCCUGGGACUAUAGAGAUGGCUCAGUAGGUUAGGAACAUGUAAUGCCCUUGCAUUUACAUUUCGUUCGCAACACUUGGAACUUCAGCUCCAAUCAGCCUGAUUCUUCUGUACCUGCACUCACAUGCCUGCCCCCAAUACCCAUACUU